rnacentral:rRNA from 1 species
GACGAACGCUGGCGGCGUGCUUAACACAUGCAAGUCGAACGGAAAGGCCCUGCUUUUGUGGGGUGCUCGAGUGGCGAACGGGUGAGUAACACGUGAGUAACCUGCCCUUGACUUUGGGAUAACUUCAGGAAACUGGGGCUAAUACCGGAUAGGAGCUCCUGCUGCAUGGUGGGGGUUGGAAAGUUUCGGCGGUUGGGGAUGGACUCGCGGCUUAUCAGCUUGUUGGUGGGGUAGUGGCUUACCAAGGCUUUGACGGGUAGCCGGCCUGAGAGGGUGACCGGCCACAUUGGGACUGAGAUACGGCCCAGACUCCUACGGGAGGCAGCAGUGGGGAAUAUUGCACAAUGGGCGGAAGUCUGAUGCAGCAACGUCGCGUGCGGGAUGACGGCCUUCGGGUUGUAAACCGCUUUCGCCUGUGACGAAGCGUGAGUGACGGUAAUGGGUAAAGAAGCACCGGCUAACUACGUG